rnacentral:rRNA from 1 species
AUUGAACGCUGGCGGCAUGCCUAACACAUGCAAGUCGAACGGUUAGCCGGCUUCGGCCGGUGAGAGUGGCGAACGGGUGAGUAACGCGUGGGAAUCUGCCCAGUAGUGGGGGACAACCCGGGGAAACUCGGGCUAAUACCGCAUACGCCCUACGGGGGAAGCGGGGGACCGCAAGGCCUCGCGCUAUUGGAUGAGCCCGCGUCCGAUUAGCUGGUUGGUGAGGUAAUGGCUCACCAAGGCGACGAUCGGUAGCUGGUCUGAGAGGACGAUCAGCCACACUGGGACUGAGACACGGCCCAGACUCCUACGGGAGGCAGCAGUGGGGAAUAUUGGACAAUGGGCGAAAGCCUGAUCCAGCAAUGCCGCGUGUGUGAAGAAGACCUGCGGGUUGUAAAGCACUUUCGGCCGGGAAGAAAUCGCAUGGGUUAAUACCCUGUGUGGAUGACGGUACCGGAAUAAGAAGCACCGGCUAACUACGUGCCAGCAGCCGCGGUAAU